UUUGAACAACAUUUGAAAUCG
rnacentral:piRNA from 1 species